CCUUUUUUUUUUUUUUUACUUUUCCUGUCAAGUUCCUUUUUUUGUAAGAUAUAGAUCUUUUUCUGAGAUUAGGAUAUAGAGUUGUGAGAUGAAAUUAUCUCCUGUUCGAAUUUGGCCACAUUAGGACAUUCUCGGAUGGAAUUUUUCCCCCAUGUAUUAAAAUGUACUAUUGCACAUGAACAGAGUUGAUCAAUGAAAAUCUCUCUGUUUCCUCUAGUUUGAAUUACCUUUAUUGUGUGGCAGUUAGACUAGGGGGAAUGGAAGCUAGGUGGGAGAUUUUCAAUGCUUUUGGAAUCUCUUAUUGACGGAGUUGGAUUGGUAACAUCACCAUAUAUGAUCCAAUGCUGAUAACAUGUAAUUUUUUACUGUUCUACAAGGAGCAUUUCUCGGACCUCGGUU
rnacentral:misc_RNA from 1 species